rnacentral:lncRNA from 1 species
CUGAUAAUCUAAGGAGUGAUAUCACCUGCCAAUAUGGCCAAGGGCACAAAAAUUUUAAGACUCUCAGUCUAAUCCUCUAAGCUGCACCAGCUGUUACUGUUUGGUGAUUCAGGGAACCUGCAGACCUGACUGUGUGUCCUGGGACCCAGAGACAAGGUUGCCAGAAUUUCCGCGGGGGAAGCCAGAGAACACAGGAGAAGGGGUCAGGUUCUGAAAUGAGCAAGUAAGCAGAGAGUGAA